rnacentral:rRNA from 1 species
GCAGCCGCGGUAAUACGGGGGAUGCAAGCGUUAUCCGGAUUUAUUGGGUUUAAAGGGUGCGUAGGCGGCGUCUUAAGUCAGCGGUGAAAUUUAGGGGCUCAACCUCUACCGUGCCGUUGAUACUGGGAUGCUGGAAUGCGGAUGCCGUGGGAGGAAUGUGUGGUGUAGCGGUGAAAUGCAUAGAUAUCACACAGAACACCGAUUGCGAAGGCAUCUCACGAAUCCGCUAUUGACGCUGAGGCACGAAAGCGUGGGGAUCAAACAGGAUUAGAUACCCC